GCAAUAUAGCUCAGUCAGUAGAGCUUGAGGCUCCUAAUCUGAGGGUUGUGGGCUCAAGCCCCACGUUGGGCA